UAGUUUGAUCAUGGCUCAGGAAAGUCGUAACAAGGUAACCGUAAGUCGUAACAAGGUAACCGUAGAGUUUGAUCAUGGCUCAGGUGAAGUCGUAACAAGGUAACCGUAAGUCGUAACAAGGUAACCGUAGAGUUUGAUCAUGGCUCAAGAAAGUCGUAACAAGGUUAGCCGUAAGUCGUAACAAGGUAGCCGUACAGUUUGAUCCUGC
rnacentral:rRNA from 1 species